GGACGAUGAUCACCUUUCUACCUGCCAAACUCAUUUUCUUCAAUGCCUCUCGUCGUGUUUGUACUCCAUAUUGGUCUGCAACAUUGAGUAUGGUAAAUGCAACAUACUCCAUUCAACAUAAUGAGUAAUAAUAGGAAGACAAAGGCUGAUAUUUGUAUGAAAUGUAGAUCACUCACGUUAUAGUACAUAAGUUACUAUAAAUGUAAGCUUAUGUUUGUCUGAUUGAACAACAAGUAAUACGUAGCAAAGUUAUUAGUUUUCCUUUAUAAUCAAUUCAAUAUUUCUUCUUCAGACAUUUAUAUCUCUUCAUACAAUUCAUUGUUCAUAUACUAUUUUCUUGUUCAACUUUAGUGAGGGUUGUAUUUUAUUAUCAGAGUCAAAUUUCCGCUGCAACUCCAACAAUUGGUAUCAGAGCCAAUUGUAAAAUUGUAAAGUGGUAAAACUUUAUUAUUUUUUAUUGGUUUUCGAAGAUAAUGGCUUCUACCAGUGGAACCGUCAAGGUUGGAAAAUAUGAAAUAGAUAAGUUUAAUGGAAAAAAUGAUUUUUCCUAUUGGAGAAUGCAAAUGAAAAAAUUUCUUAUUUCAUAAAAGUUGCACAAGGUGUUAGCGGAACAGAAACCUGAGAGUAUGAAGGAUGAAGAUUGGGAAGAGUUAGAUCUUGAAGCACGGGAAACCAUAAUCUUAUGCCUUGAGAGGGAUGUUUCAUUCUUGGUUAAUGAAGAAGCAACGACUGUAGGCGUGUGGUCAAAGUUAGAGAAAAAUUUCAUGACAAAAACUCUAACAAAUCGGAUCUACUUGAAAUCCAAAUUGUAUACAUGCAAGAUGGAGGAAGGCACCUCAAUCCGGGAUUAUGUCAACAAGUUUGAUAGGAUUAUAUCAGACUUGAAGGAUGUAGGAGUGAAGAUUUAUGAUGAAGACCGAGCACUUAUGUUGCUUCUUUCAUUGACCAAGAAGUAUGAAAAUCUAGUUCAAACAUUGAUGCUUAUGGGUGAUACUCUAACCAUGAAUGAGACUAGAACAUUGUUAUUAGCGGAUGAUCUUCGAAAGGUUGCUACUAGUGGGAUGUCUGGAAAUGGUGAAGAAAAUAACAAACAAACACAAGGAUUGUUUGCUACUAAAGGGAGGACCAAUGAAAGAGGACAAGGCAUGGGCGGUAAGUCUAAAUCAAAAUCUAGAACUCAUGCGAAAAGAACUUGCUUUAAAUAUGGUGAGCUUGGGCACUUUAAAGAAAAUUGUCCAAAUAAGAGGGUAUUAUUUAAGAAGUAUACCAAUAGUGAAAACAACUCCAUAGGUAAACAAGAUUUGCAGGAGGCAAGUUAUGUCUCAAAUGGCGAGGAUGAUUCCUUCUCGGUUUCAGAGCAAUACCAUGAUAUCUCCGGGAGAUGGAUGAUUGAUUCAGGAGCUUCACACCAUAUGUUCCCAAAUAGGAAGUGGUUUACUACCUACCAAAGCACAGAUGGUGGUACAGUCAUAAUGGGGAAUAAUCAUGCCGGUAAGAUUAUGGGGUAUGGUACAAUAUGAAUCAAGAUGCAUCAUGGAGUGUGUCGCGGCGCGAAAAAUACCCGAGCGUAAGGAACGCUCGAAAUAUAAACAAAACAGAGUCGCCACCGAACUUUAUUUAUUCCCAAAGAAGGAAAGGGGAAAUAUCGAUAAAACCCACAAAAAUCAAAAAGAAAUGGUCGUCGCAACCAAAUCGGGUUCGGGAGUCGGUUAUGCAAGGGGAAGGUAUUAGCACCCCUCACAUCCAUCGUACUCAUGGGAGCCCAUUAGUUAGUUUCGGGUUAGAGUGUUAGCGUGAUAUUGUUUUGUGAACUUCUACUUAUCGAGUGAGAAAAGAAAAUAAAAAAGGAAAGACUUAGGGGAUUUUAAUAUUAAUGUGCCUGACAAGAUUUCGCAAUCCUGCUCCUACGUAUCUCCAGGUGCUAUGAAGAACUCAAGGCAUACGUAGUUCUAUCCGAGAGAACUCUGGCGUGGAUUGCUUUUAAAGAGAGUGAUGCUUGGAUCACAUUUGAGCGAUUAAACCUUUACUUGCUGCUCACUCUUGGAGGCUGAAGUCUUUGUUUGUUUCGCAUCAAAAUAGAUGUCGCAUACUCUUUUCUGAAAAUGUUUUCAGAGUCGCACAAGGGCGGAAAAUAAGUUUGAUGAGUUUGAGUUGAUUUUAAGCGGAGACAAGCAUCUAAGCAGGGAGCUCUACUGCAGUACUCAGAUGCUCGAAAAGGAAGAGGCCUAAGCCCAGUCACUCUCUUUUCAUCCAAAAGUUUAUUAUGAAAAUGUAUGGCAAAUUAAGCCAAAGUUCAUUAACGGAAGACGAUUAGUCAGACAGAGAGCUCUACAGCAGUGUCCAAAUAAUCGGGAAAGAGAAGGUCGAUACCCAAUCAAUCUUUUUCUUCUAUAAGAGAAAUGAUCCAAUUCUGGUAAUUACUGUAUGUUAAUAUGGAAGACGAAUGUUUGAACAUUGAGCUCUACAGCAAUAUCCUAACAUUCGAAACAGAGAAAGUCUAAACUUAAUCAGUUUCUUCCAUUUUUUAUUGUGAAAAGAUUUUAAAAACAGGGGGACAACUUGACGUUGGAUCAAGUGUCUGAUUCGAUUUUGACUUGAAAUUGAUUUUUGAAAAGUUGAUAUUUUAUUAGGAAGCCAAAUACUCAAAUAGUGAGCUCUACAACAAUAUUUGAGUAUUCAGGAAGGGAAGAGGUCUAAACCCAAUCACCUUCUCUUUUAUUCUAGUUUAUUAUGAAAAUGAUUUAAACUUUAUAAAUUCUCAUGAGAUAAUAUGUAACAAGAAAGUAUGCUUAUAAAUUUGGUUCAACAUUCUUGCCAUUUUUAACAUAAAUGAUUAGUUUAAGAAAAAAAAUGUUUAAAACUAAACUUAAAUAUAUAAAUAAAAAACAAUACCAAUUGUCUUAAAAAAAUGGCCAGCUUUAUUUCUCAACACUACUGUUAGUAAACCCAACCUUAUAAGCACUUUAUUUGCUUUAGCACUCAAUUAUUCUACCUGAUAUGCAUUUCUGUUCAUAUAGAAAACUCAUGCCAAAUUUUGUAAUAAGAUCUCAUGUUAAUUUAUUAAAAUAAAUAUUAACUUAUUAAAUGAUUAGUUUAAAAAAGACAUCUUUAAAACAAAACUUAAAUAAAUAAAACAAAAGCAUUACCAAUUGCCUUAAAAAAAUGUCAGCUUUAUUUCUAAACACUCAUGUUACCAAAUCAAACCAUACAAACACUUUAUUAGCUUUAGCACUCAAUUAUUCUACCUGAUAUGCAUUUCUGUUCAUAUAGAAAACUCAUGCCAAAUUUUGUAAUAAGAUCUCAUGUUAAUUUCUUAAAACAAACAUUAACGUAUCUAUAAAAUAAAAUAAAAAAAACUACGUCACUGAUUUAUUUUAACCAUUUUCUAAAGGUUUUCCACAUAAAACAAAUCAAUAAAAUAUGAAAAUAUAAAAGUUCUUAACAUUUUGAGCAUCCAAGAAGAUGCCUUAAGAUAGAUAAAAAUUGAAUUACCUAAAUGUUUUAGUGAGUCUUAUUUCACACAAUUCACAUGGGAUGCUACCGGAAUAACUCGGGAAAUUGACCAAAUUAAGAACCUGACAAAAGGUUUACCAAAGCACUUGCUGAUACAAUGACUUAAAGAAAGAAAAAAAACAUAUUUACAGUAUGGAAGUUUUGAAUAAAAACCAGUAUAAAAUACACAUUGUCAAACUAAAUGCAAACAACAAACCAAAUAAGGCAAACCAAACAAAAUACGUAUAUUGGAAUCGUAAGCGGUCCAUAACGUGAUACGCCAUUUAGAACACAAACAACAAAUAUAACACAAAAUUCGCAUAUUGAAUACAAUGAAACAGAUAAAAUGGAGUGUUAAUAAAACUCAACGAAUAUGAAUCGUAGCAUAACGCAUACAACCAAACAAACAUAUCGUAUCGAAAACUAAAUGCAAAGAUAUGCGUAACUCUAGCGAAAUAUAAACCAACACGCAUUUGCAAAGUAAACAACAAUGAAAACGUGAAGCAAGUCACACAACAACCACACAUAGAGCAUGUAUUAAAUCAUAACAAACCAACACCUAAAACAAACUUGAAUAACCUAACCAUGAGUUCUCUAAUGUCUCAACAAUUCCUCUUCCUUUUUACAACUGUUUUAAUUAAUUUUUUGUUACAAAUUUAUAAAACAACAACAAACUGGUAGAAUGUUAUCUUCUUAAUAUGCAGUGCCAAGCUCAUUCUAUAUUAUCUAUUCUUACUAAAGUAACAACACACACCAUACUUUAUAUCACCACACCAUACUCUAUCAUGUGAAUAAAAAAAAACCGAAUAUUUAUCUACACAUACAUAUAGUAUUAAACACACUCAAACAAACACACAACAAUUGAAAGCAAAGCAUAAUCAAAUGUAUUAACAAAAAAGGUGCUUGAACAAAAUGCAGGUUUGAAACCGAAACCGUGCAGAGCCGACAACUAAACAAAAUUUGAUCUUGAGUUCAAAAACAAGCCAACACAUUUAAUUGCAGCCAAAUUAAUACGAGAACAAAAUCAAACAUUCUUAACACUUAACUGAAGAAAAAUCAUAGACAAAUAUAGCUAAAAUCACGGCUGGCAAAAAUUGAAUAUCAAACUUACCAGAAUUGAAAUUGACGGCAACAGAAUCUCAAUUGUUAAACUCAAUAGCUAUCGGAGCACGAUUAUGAGCUCAUGACGGCGACGUUGUUGUUUCUUGAGUGAAUGGCGGCGGAAUUGCAACGCGGAGAGGUGUGACAGGUUAUGUUGUUGUGAUGCUUUCGUCGCCGGAGCUUUCGAAUGGAGAGGGUGGAGCUGGUCCGACGGUGGUUGUAAGAAGGGCGUUGCAACGAUUGUGUUUUCCGGAAAUUGUAUGUGAUUGUGUGUGUUGUUGCAAAACACGUUUGUUCCAGUUUUGAGGGUUGUUUUAAAGAGAGGAAGAUAUGUGUGUGAGGGAAUGAAUUUUUAGGUGUUGUGUUUGACGGUUUUUUAUCUGAAGGGAACCACCCAUGCUCUUUGGUAGUAGCAGUAAAGUUAUGGAGAUUUUGAUAGAAGUCUUGUGAGAUUGAUGUGUUUGAGGGUCAGUUGAGAGGCGCCGUGAGAGGGUCAGAUUAUGGGGCUCAAGAGGGUCAGAUUAUUGUCCUUUGUAGCUUUGUGAUAAUGUUAACCCAAUAGCAGGAAUUUAAGUACGAGUAAUAGAAAAUGUGAUGAUGGUGAAUGAAAU
rnacentral:lncRNA from 1 species